rnacentral:tRNA from 1 species
AUGAUAUGUAGCGCAAGUAAAAGCUGCUAACUUAUUACUUAAGUGGUUAAAAUCCAUUUAUAUCUAAU